rnacentral:rRNA from 1 species
UCGGAGACGGUGCUCGUGCGGGCGGUGAUGCGACACACGUAUCCGAAAGACUCUCGGCAACGGAUAUCUCGGCUCUUGCAUCGAUGAAGAACGUAGCGAAAUGCGAUACUUGGUGUGAAUUGCAGAAUCCCGUGAACCAUCGAGUCUUUGAACGCAAGUUGCGCCCGAAGCCAUUAGGCUGAGGGCACGCCUGCCUGGGUGUCGCCCAUCGUUGCCCCAUUGCUUUGGCCUCGUGCUAGGCACCGAGCUGGGCGAAUGCUGGCUUCCCGCGAGCAAUGCCUCACGGUUGGUUGAAAACUGAGUCCGUGGUGGAGGGCGCCGUGACGGAUGGUGGUUGUU